AGGAAGGCGUUGUGGUUAAAACCGCAGCGAUUGACGUUACUCGCAGAAGCACCGGUUAACUCCGUGCCGUAAUACGGAGGUGCAAGCGUUAAUCGGAAUUACUGGGCGUAAAGCGCACGCAGGCGGUCUGUCAAGUCGGAUGUGAAAUCCCCGGGCUAACCUGGGAACUGCAUCCGAAACAGAGUGUAGAGGGGGGUAGAAUUCCAGGUGUGAGCGGUGAAAUGCGUAGAGAUCUGGAGGAAUACCGGUGGCGAAGGCGGCCCGACUGACGCUCAGUGCGAAAGCGUGGGGAGCAAACAGGAUUAGAUACCCUGGUAGUCCACGCCGUAAACGAUGUCGACUUGGAGGUUGUGCCCUUGAGGCGUGGCUUCCGGAGCUAACGCGUUAAGUCGACCGGAGUACGGCCGCAAGGUUAAAACUCAAAUGAAUUGACGGGGGCCCGCACAAGCGGUGGAGCAUGUGGUUUAAUUCGAUGCAACGCGAAGAACCUUACCUACUCUUGACAUCCAGAGAACUUAGCAGAGAUGCUUUGGUGCCUUCGGGAACUCUGAGACAGGUGCUGUGCCGUGUUGCUGGGGUUAAGUCCCGCAACGAGCCAACCCUUAUCCUUUGUUGCCAGCGGUCGGCCGGGAACUCAAAGGAGACUUUGCCAGUGAUAAACUGGAGGAAGGUGGGGAUGACGUCAAGUCAUCAUGGCAGUAGGGCUACACACGUGCUACAAUGGCAUAUACAAAGAGAAGCGACCUCCGCGAGAGCAAGCGGACCUCAUAAAAGUAUGUCGUAGUCCGGAUUGGAGUCUGCAACUCGACUCGGAAGUCGCUAGUAAUCGUGGAUCAGAAUGCCACGGUGAAUACGUUCCCGGGCCUU
rnacentral:rRNA from 1 species